rnacentral:rRNA from 1 species
UGAGUAACGCGUAUGCAACCUACCUAUCAGAGGGGAAUAACCCGGCGAAAGUCGGACUAAUACCGCAUAAAACAGGGGCACCGCAUGGUGAUAUUUGUUAAAGAAAUUCGCUGAUAGAUGGGCAUGCGUUCCAUUAGGUAGUUGGUAGAGGUAACGGCUCACCGAAGCCGACGAUGGAUAGGGGAACUGAGAGGUUGGUCCCCCCACACUGGUACUGAGACACGGACCAGACUCCUACGGGAGGCAGCAGUGAGGAAUAGUUGGUCAAUGGGCGAGAGCCUGAACCAGCCAAGUCGCCGUGAAGGAAGAAGGAUCUAUGGUUCGUAAACUUCUUUUGCAGGGGAAUAAAGUGCAGGACGUGUCCUGUUUUGUAUGUACCCUGAGAAUAAGGAUCGGCUAACUCCGUGCCAGCCGCCGC